UUAAGUGACGAUAGCCUAGGAGAUACACCUGUACCCAUGCCGAACACAGCAGUUAAGCCCUAGAACGCCUGAAGUAGUUGGGGGUUGCCCCUGUUAGAUACGGUAGUCGCUUAGC
rnacentral:rRNA from 1 species